GACGUAGGGCGCGAGCGUUGUCCGGAUUUAUUGGGCGUAAAGAGCUCGUAGGCGGCUUGUCGCGUCGACCGUGAAAACUUGGGGCUCAACCCCAAGCCUGCGGUCGAUACGGGCAGGCUAGAGUUCGGUAGGGGAGACUGGAAUUCCUGGUGUAGCGGUGAAAUGCGCAGAUAUCAGGAGGAACACCGGUGGCGAAGGCGGCAUCCUGGACCGGCAUUGACGCUGAGGCGCGAAAGCCAGGGGAGCAAACGGG
rnacentral:rRNA from 1 species